rnacentral:rRNA from 1 species
UACGGAGGAGGCAAGCGUUAUCCGGAAUUAUUGGGCGUAAAGCGUCCGCAGGUGGCGAUUCAAGUCUGCGGUCAAAGACUGGGGCUUAACCCUGGAAAGGCCGUGGAAACUGAAUAGCUAGAGUGCAGUAGGGGUAGAGGGAAUUCCCGGUGUAGCGGUGAAAUGCGUAGAGCUCGGGAAGAACAUCGGUGGCGAAAGCGCUCUGCUGGACCGCAACUGACACUCAGGGACGAAAGCUAGGGGAGCGAAUGGG